GAUGAACGCUAGCUACGGGCUUAACACAUGCAAGUCGCGGGGCAGCAUGGGGGUUGCUUGCAAUCCCCGAUGGCGACCGGCGCACGGGUGAGUAACGCGUAUCCAACCUGCCCUUCACCACGGGAUAACCCGGCGAAAGUCGGACUAAUACCGUAUGUUGUCCAUUGACGGCAUCCGAUUUGGACGAAAGGUUUGGCGGUGAAGGAUGGGGAUGCGUCCGAUUGGCUGGACGGCGGGGUGACGGCCCACCGUGGCGACGAUCGGUAGGGGUUCUGAGAGGAAGGUCCCCCACACUGGAACUGAGACACGGUCCAGACUCCUACGGGAGGCAGCAGUGAGGAAUAUUGGUCAAUGGGCGUAAGCCUGAACCAGCCAAGUAGCGUGCAGGAUGACGGCCCUAUGGGUUGUAAACUGCUUUUAUGCGGGGAUAAAGUGGCCCACGUGUGGGUUUUUGCAGGUACCGCAUGAAUAAGGACCGGCUAAUUCCGUG
rnacentral:rRNA from 1 species